UACGGAGGGGGCUAGCGUUGUUCGGAAUUACUGGGCGUAAAGCGCACGUAGGCGGCUUGCCAAGUCAGAGGUGAAAGCCCGGGGCUCAACUCCGGAAUUGCCUUUGAAACUGGCUCGCUUGAUCAUGGGAGAGGUGAGUGGAAUUCCGAGUGUAGAGGUGAAAUUCGUAGAUAUUCGGAAGAACACCAGUGGCGAAGGCGGCUCACUGGACCAUUGAUGACGCUGAGGUGCGAAAGCGUGGGGAGCAAACAGG
rnacentral:rRNA from 1 species